rnacentral:rRNA from 1 species
AUUGAACGCUGGCGGCAGGCCUAACACAUGCAAGUCGAACGAGUGGCGGACGGGUGAGUAAUGUCUGGGAAACUGCCCGAUGGAGGGGGAUAACUACUGGAAACGGUAGCUAAUACCGCAUACCAUCGGAUGUGCACAGAUGGGGUUAGCUAGUAGGUGGGGUAACGGCGCACCUAGGAGACGAUACCUAGCUGGUCUGAGAGGAUGACGAGCCACACUGGAACUGUGACACGGUCCAGACUCCGACGGGAGGCAGCAGUGGGGAAUAUUGCACAAUGGGCGCAAGCCUGAUGCAGCCAUGCCGAGUGUAUGAAGAAGGCCUUCGGGUUGUAAAGUACUUUCAGCGAGGAGGCGUUACUCGCAGAAGAAGCACCGGCUAACUCCGUGCCAGCAGCCGCGGUAAUAC